rnacentral:rRNA from 1 species
GAUGAACGCUGGCGGCGUGCUUAACACAUGCAAGUCGAACGAAGACAUCUGAGUGCCUGCACUUGGAUGGACUGAGUGGCGGACGGGUGAGUAACGCGUGGGUAACCUGCCUUAUACAGGGGGAUAACAGUUGGAAACGACUGCUAAUACCGCAUAAGCGCACGGUAUCGCAUGAUACAGUGUGAAAAACUCCGGUGGUAUAAGAUGGACCCGCGUCUGAUUAGCUUGUUGGUGAGGUAACGGCCCACCAAGGCGACGAUCAGUAGCCGGCCUGAGAGGGUGAACGGCCACAUUGGGACUGAGACACGGCCCAAACUCCUACGGGAGGCAGCAGUGGGGAAUAUUGCACAAUGGGGGAAACCCUGAUGCAGCGACGCCGCGUGAGUGAUGAAGUAUUUCGGUAUGUAAAACUCUAUCAGCAGGGAAGAUAAUGACGGUACCUGACUAAGAAGCACCGGCUAAAUACGUGCCAGCAGCCGUCGG